rnacentral:rRNA from 1 species
UACAGGGGGUGCAAACGUUGCUCGGAAUCAUUGGGCGUAAAGCGCACGUAGGCGGUCUGUUAUGUCGGAUGUGAAAGCCCUUGGCUUAACUGAGGAAGUGCAUCCGAAACUGGCAGGCUAGAGUACUAAAGAGGGUCGCGGAAUUCCCGGUGUAGAGGUGAAAUUCGUAGAUAUCAGGAGGAACACCGGUGGCGAAGGCGGCUCUCUGGACCACAACUGACGCUGAGGCGCGAAAGCUAGGGGAGCAAACAGG